rnacentral:rRNA from 1 species
GAGUUUGAUCGUGGCUCAGAUUGAACGCUGGCGGCAUGCUUUACACAUGCAAGUCGAGCGGCAGCGCGGGGGCAACCCUGGCGGCGAGCGGCGAACGGGUGAGGAAUACAUCGGAACGUACCCCGGAGUGGGGGAUAACCCAGCGAAAGUUGGGCUAAUACCGCAUAUGCUCUGAGGAGGAAAGUGGGGGGACCUGAGGGUAACUUCGGGCCUCACGCUCUGGGAGCGGCCGAUGUCCGAUUAGCUUGUUGGUGGGGUAAUGGCCUACCAAGGCGACGAUCGGUAGCUGGUCUGAGAGGAUGAUCAGCCACACUGGGACUGAGACACGGCCCAGACUCCUACGGGAGGCAGCAGUGGGGAAUUUUGGACAAUGGGGGCAACCCUGAUCCAGCCAUGCCGCGUGCGGGAAGAAGGCC